GUCCUACGGGGGGCAGCAGUAGGGAAUUUUCGUCAAUGGGCGCAAGCCUGAACGAGCAAUGCCGCGUGAACGAGGAAGGUCUUCGGAUCGUAAGGUUCUGUUGAAGGGGAAAAAGAGCGGAGAGAGGAAAUGGUCCCCGAUUGAUAUUACCCUUCGAGGAAGUCACGGCUAACUACGUGCCAGCAGCCGCGGUAAUACGUAGGCGGCGAGCGUUAUCCGGAAUGAUUGGGCGUAAAGGGUGCGUAGGCGGCCUGCUACGUCUGGAGUGAAAGGUACCGGCUCAACCGUGACAGGCUCUGGAAACU
rnacentral:rRNA from 1 species